rnacentral:tRNA from 1 species
GGGGUUGUAGCUCAGUGGUAGAGCACUUGCGUAACAUGUGUGAAGCACUGGGUUCAAUUCUCAGCAACACGU